UUGUUUCAGCAUCACAUAUACUAAAAUUGGAAUAAUACAGAGAAGAUUAACAUGGCCCCUGAACAAGGAUGACACACAAAUUCAUGAAGGAAAGGCCAUACAU
ensembl:snRNA U6 U6 spliceosomal RNA